CACCUUACGUACACAUCACUCCUGGAAUCAUCAAACUCUACAUAUGUCGGUUAUUCUUUGCCUGAUGCCCAACUGUAAUAUGUAAACUGCUUCAAAUGCCACAGUUGGCUGUGGUGGGAAGCAGAAUGAGGUGCAAAACCAGCCCUGGGUGGGUAGGUGGAUGGGGAGGGAGGAGAGAGAAGGGAGACUAUGUUAUCUAGAAUAAUUGCUGAAAAUUCACCGACCGCAGCUUGAGAGCCUGAGCUGAGGUUGUGACGCUGCUUCUGUCGCUGCCCGACUGGACAAGAGGAUACUGGUCCUAACAGAUCCAGGGCCCACCCCUACUUGAGCAUGAUCUCAUCUUCACCUGACUGAUUUCAUCUGCAGUGACCCUAUUUUCAAAUAAGGUCGUAAUCUGAGGUACUGGAAGUUAGGACUUCAACCUAUUUUUGGUGGAAGAAACAACUCAGUCAAUAAUCUAAGGGCUUGGUGAAUAUUCCUACUAUUUCCUGCAAAGUGAGACUUAAGACACAGCUUCUCAUGUAAGUGGCAAAUAAGCGACCAAUAUCCUAUGAACCAGAAGGAUACUCUAAGUGCUAAAAAACAAACAAGCAAAAAAAAACUGCUUGCCAUCUUUUAAAAUACUCCAAAGAUCUACAAACUUAACACUGAGAGGAGUUUAAAAACCUACCUCCCUUCCCUUGAGAAGGUGUUUCUGGUUGUUGAGAUUCAAAAAAACAAAAACAAACAAAAAAACAAGGAGGCCUAGAAACUAGCCUGAGGUCACAUGGCGACUCCAUCUUAGGAUUUGAACUCAAAACUUCCUGAACUCCCAAGCCUCACAAGCAAUAAUAAUAUUAGGUAUAAUAAGGUAUAUGUCACAAUGAGCUAUAUUACAGUAAAUUUGUUGCUACUCCUCAAACUAAGCAUUCUGAUUUUCAAUAUUCCAGCUUCCGAGGAAAAUGGCAAGACGAAGUUUCGCUCUGGUCAGUUAGAGAGCGCUUAAGUUAUCUCAGGGUGUUGGCAACUCAAAUACCUGUCACAAAGUACCCUUUAUUUUUCUGCUCUUAAUUCACAAGGUUGGGCCCCAAGUCCCCAAAGCACUUUCAUCUCCAGUCAGAGAGGCCUUAUGAAGAGAACUGAUGCCCUGUUUCACCCCAAGGUGAGCUCUCCACAGUGCUCUGCAACCAUGACCUACCUCUCCAGUGGGGUCACCUUUGUGGGAGAGUUCAGCCACCAAGAGCUGGGCAUCCACAGGACAGGAGCAGAAUAAUGGAUUACCCACUUGAAAAUUCAAGGGGAAUUUUGAGGGCCUGGAUUUUUACAGGUCUCCUGGUAAGCAUCCUAAGUUCUGUCAAAAAAAAAAAAAUGAUCUUUAGAAAAACACAAGCAAGAUUUAAAUCCAGGUUAGUUUUAGAAGAUCUUAGUAUCCAUUUGAGUAUUAUUAGGUAAGCUUUGAUGAUUAUAAACCCCGAAACCAGCCUUCACAACCCUGCCUCCACCUUCAGGCCCAGGAGAGACUCAGAAAGCCUACCCACUCCUUAUUACUUCUUGUCCCUUAUCAGUUUAUUUAGGGGGAAAUGUCUGGGCCAAGAGAAGAGUAACAGCUUGGCAGGUACUGACCAGACAGGUAUUUCAUAUACUGUAAAGCCUAUUCAAUAAAAUUUACCUAAUAUGGAAUUUGUGAUGUGAUGAAUUUGCACCAUGAAUAAAAAGUGUGUGCUCGGCAAAAACAUAAU